UACCUGUCCUACCACUCUCUGCCAGACUAAGCCCAGGGAGCACAAUGGAGCUGUUAAUCAGGAAGAAACCUUAAGCAUCACUGAAGCCCUGCCUCCAUCCAGGAAAUGCCCUAUUUAGUUCUGUGUUCCGGGCUGGAACACCCUGCAAAAAUUGAAGAAAACCAGAUAUACCAGCAGAGGGGGAGAAGCAAAGGUCCAGACCUUCCCAGUGGUGC